rnacentral:lncRNA from 1 species
AAUCACUAGUCGUCUUAUUUGGUGGCCGAUAGACAUUGCACACAACAAUCCGCAAUUAACAAAAAUAAAUAGGAAACACACACACUACAGCAGCAACGUAGCAGUUAACUUGUCGUAUUGGAUUCCUUAAAAUUAUUUUGGCGAAGAUGACUACUGAUUGCUAGCGAGUUAAACUUCUGAAUUUUUUACUAACUUUCGACUUCCGUUAAACUGUUUACGAGCAAGACUCAUGUAAGGUCGACUGCAUCUUCCAGUCUUUCACCCUUCCUGGAGAAAGACAGGGUGUUUAUCUUCCAUUGUUUUAGAUGUCGUCUUCUCGUUAAUUUUACCCGACACCUGCGUGUAUUAUUUCAUUAUAACCCAUUUUUAUCGGGGACGAGUCCAGGGGUUUGAUGAUAUGACUAGAUACGUUAUCAUAUUUCUCUUAUCAGUGCGUUUCUUUCUCCCCUCUAAAUUCCUUUCUCUGUCUCUCUUUUUUCUCUUUCUUUUUCUUUUUGAACAAAAAAAAAAAAAAACCCGGACAUUUAGAGGUGAGGAUAGACACAUCAUAUCCAACCCGAAUUCCUAUCCCUCACAAAAUAUAUUAUUUCUGAGUGAUUAAAAAAUGGAAAAUUGCAAGUUACUAUUAAUUAAGUUAAUAGAUUGUCGUUUAUGAAAUUUAUAAGCAAUUUAUAUCUUGC